UUUUCUUUCUUUUGUUAGAUUGUUUUUUGAAUCUCUAUUUGGUUUGGCAAUUAAAUCAGUGAAAGUGUGUUUGAUUUGAAUCUUAUCAAAUGUUGUCCUUAAAAAUCAAUUUUGCAGCACUUAUUGGCAUCAUUGUGGCAUAGAGCUCUGUUUACUCCUCAACCUGAUAUUAUAAGAUAUAUGCAGGCUAGGAGCUGAUAGUAAACAUCAAAGAGAUUACAUCUGAUUUAGUAUACCUAAGGUGAGGCAAGUGAACAAAGGGAAAGACAAAAACCGUGAAGACCUUACUUGAUUGUUCCUAGAUCUUCAUAUGUUCUCGGACUUUUAUUUUUAAACUUUUUGCAAAUUGAAGGUGGGCGUGGCCCCAUGGAGGACAAGACGUGGGAAGCAAGACUC